CCAGAACACAGGUGCUGCAUGGCUGUCGUCAGCUCGUGUCGUGAGAUAUUGGGUUAAGUCCCGCAACGAGCGCAACCCUUGUCACUAGUUGCCAUCAUUUAGUUGGGCACUCUAGUGAGACUGCCGGUGACAAACCGGAGGAAGGUGGGGAUGACGUCAAGUCCUCAUGGCCCUUAUGGGUAGGGCUUCACACGUCAUACAAUGGUCGGUACAGAGGGUUGCCAAGCCGCGAGGUGGAGCCAAUCCCUUAAAGCCGAUCGUAGUCCGGAUCGUAGUCUGCAACUCGACUACGUGAAGUCGGAAUCGCUAGUAAUCGCAGAUCAGCAUGCUGCGGUGAAUACGUUCCCGGGUCUU
rnacentral:rRNA from 1 species